GCCGCGACUUCGAACGGGAAUGGCGCGCCGCGGCCGACUACGCAUGCGCGACGCUAGUACGCGAAGGUCGGCUAGUCAAUUGAGAGACCGCGCUGCGUUUCACUUUUUAUUCCUCGACGUUCUCACUCGAUAAUAUCGUUGAUAUGAUAUUAAAUAAGCCGAGAAAGCGAUCUCAGAAUUUUAGAUAGAUGUUCGUGCUACGUGAGGGUCUCGCACCCAACGGAGAUUCCAAUAAGAAGUACUGCACUUGAGCUACGGCGACAUCUCGAAGAAGACGCUCCGAGCAACAAUGAAAUUCCGUUGUUGCGAGUUUAUCACGAAGCUUAGAUUAGCUGAUCUCGCGAUUCCUUUGCACUGAUGACGAGAUAGGAGCGAAAAGCCUCCCCGCGCCCAUCGUCCAUCACGCUUUUCGCACCCACUCUCCAACGCAACGGAGCCUAGAUAUUUUGGCAGCCUAAUAAAAAAAAAAAGGACUGUGCUCAUUGCUAUGGAAAUUCAUCUUACCCUUGUUCUGUCUCUCUUUCAGUAAGGUUAAAACAUAUCAAAUCGGUCAAUGUCUAAUUCCUUAUCGUCGCUGUGCGCUCUCUUCCACCUAAACAUGCAACUGAAGAAGAUGAAACUAAUGAAGAUUUCAAAGUAACAACACGAUAUAUCCGAGGAUGUGUCGAUAAACGUCACUCCUCUCCUCUGCAAUCAUCUUCGAGACAGCCGCGUAGGAACCAGCCUUGCAAACGGACAUGCGAUUGUCACGAG